AGUGAACGCUGGCGGUAGGCCUAACACAUGCAAGUCGAACGGCAGCACAGUAAGAGCUUGCUCUUACGGGUGGCGAGUGGCGGACGGGUGAGGAAUACAUCGGAAUCUACUUUUUCGUGGGGGAUAACGUAGGGAAACUUACGCUAAUACCGCAUACGACCUACGGGUGAAAGCAGGGGAUCUUCGGACCUUGCGCGAUUGAAUGAGCCGAUGUCGGAUUAGCUAGUUGGCGGGGUAAAGGCCCACCAAGGCGACGAUCCGUAGCUGGUCUGAGAGGAUGAACAGCCACCUUGGAACGGAAGAAGGGUCCAGCCUCCUACGGUGGGGAGGAGGGGGGAAUUUUGGAAAAUGGGGGAAAGCCUGACCCAGCCAUCCCGCGGGGGUGAAAGAGGCCUUCGGGUUGUAAAGCCCUUUUUUUGGAAAAGAAAAGCAGCGGGUUAAUACCCCGUUUUUCUGGCGGUCCCCAAAGAAUGAGCCCCGGUUAAUUUCGU
rnacentral:rRNA from 1 species